GAUGAACGCUGGCGGCGUGCCUAAUACAUGCAAGUCGAGCGAACAGACGAGGAGCUUGCUCCUCUGACGUUAGCGGCGGACGGGUGAGUAACACGUGGAUAACCUACCUAUAAGACUGGGAUAACUUCGGGAAACCGGAGCUAAUACCGGAUAACAUGUUGAACCUCAUGGUUCAACAGUGAAAGACGGUCUUGCUGUCACUUAUAGAUGGAUCCGCGCCGCAUUAGCUAGUUGGUAAGGUAACGGCUUACCAAGGCAACGAUGCGUAGCCGACCUGAGAGGGUGAUCGGCCACCUUGGAACUGAGACACGGCCCAGACUCCUACGGGAGGCAGCAGUAGGGAAUCUUCCGCAAUGGGCGAAAGCCUGACGGAGCAACGCCGCGUGAGUGAAGAAGGUCUUCGGAUCGUAAAACUCUGUUAUUAGGGAAGAACAAAUGUGUAAGUAACUAUGCACGUCUUGACGGUACCUAAUCAGAAAGCCACGGCUAACUACGUG
rnacentral:rRNA from 1 species